rnacentral:rRNA from 1 species
AGCGAACGCUGGCGGCAGGCCUAACACAUGCAAGUCGAACGAACUCUUCGGAGUUAGUGGCGGACGGGUGAGUAACACGUGGGAACGUUCCUUUUGGUUCGGAAUCACUCAGGGAAACUUGUGCUAAUACCGAAUGUGCCCUUCGGGGGAAAGAUUUAUCGCCAUUAGAGCGGCCCGCGUCUGAUUAGCUAGUUGGUGAGGUAACGGCUCAUCAAGGCGACGAUCAGUAGCUGGUCUGAGAGGAUGACCAGCCACACUGGGACUGAGACACGGCCCAGACUCCUACGGGAGGCAGCAGUGGGGAAUCUUGCGCAAUGGGCGAAAGCCUGACGCAGCCAUGCCGCGUGAAUGAUGAAGGUCUUAGGAUUGUAAAGUUCUUUCACCGGGGACGAUAAUGACGGUACCCGGAGAAGAAGCCCCGGCUAACUUCGUG